GGGAACCAGACAGACUCAACGCAUGAUCCAGUGAGAUUAUCUUCCAAAGAAAGCAGACAGGAUACCAACAAGCUACCCAGUAGUUGUCAAAUAUAUCACCGCUUUAUAAUUCUGAGAUGAAAAGUAAAUGAAGGAUCCUGACAACCUCCAGAAAGAAAGUUAUGUAUUGGUACCCAUGAGGAAUGACAGAAGAAAAAGAUAAUGUGGUGUCUUGAAGUUCGUCACACAGAAGGAAAUGAUUCCAGUGGAGCUUCUGUGACUCUUUGCCCUCCAAGCAAAUGCCCUAGGACAUUCUCUAGAGGACUGUACUAGAACUGAUGCAACCACUCUGAAGAUCCUUCUAAGCACAAAACUCAGAGAGUCAUGCUCUUGAACAUAACCCAGAUAUUUUAUUGCAAACGUGGAAGACAGACAGACCCUCUGUCAGGGUGAAGAAUUUAUAUGUGUUCUGUGUUAUUUUUACUUACCUUACAAAAAAUGUGACUUGAUUUUACCAUGUAGACUGUCAAAAUCAAUUUUGUGGAGAAUGGCCCUGAAUGGUUCAUUAUCAUUCAUCUUUCUGUUACCGGAUGCCAUAUAAAAGGCUUUCCAUUUUCCUGAAAACUAAAAACACAGUUCCCAUCAGAAACUUUAAUUGUUCUUUUAAAAUUUUUUUCCUGACAUCACCCAUCAUGAGUUUUCCUUCCUUUUUGCAUCAGCACAAAACUCUCUAUCUUUAUUGAACAAAACAGGAUCUACAAAACAAUGUGAAAACAAAAUCAAUGGGAAAACAAGAAAGGAAGAUAUUUCUGAAAUAGCUCAAGCUCUUUUAUGAAAGGCAGAACUCCACUUCAACAUUUCUCUGCUUGGUUCUUCUUGUCUUUGAAAAGUAGGGCAGAAAUGCAUAAGGAUCCAAGUGAUUGACAAUAUAGACAAUACAGAGAAAAUAUAAGACAAGUACAGUGGAAAUUCAUAAGGAGCCAAUUAACAGAGAAAUUCUGAGUUGGAGGUAAAUGGCUAGGCUUAGAUGCAUAUAAAUUUGGAUACACAUAUAACAACCCCAAAAGGACACACACACACACACACCAUGAAGAGUUCCUCCCAGAUCAGCCCAUCCCUCAUACCAGUGAUGGAUUCUUCUUAGACUGAGGUCCCUAUCAGCACAAAGCAAACCAAGUACCAGAGUCAGCAGCAGAAUCUUCAUCUCGUUGGUGCUUGUUGACCUGCUUCUGGAGAAGCUGAGAGUGUGCCGAAUCUUGGAGAGAAUCAGAAUUUGUUCCACUUUUUAUAGUAUUGAUCUGUUGGCAUAACAUGUAAUGAACCAAUGGUUAUUAAACUUAAGACCUUGGUUACAUAUGGCUCAUAAUAUCUUGGUUGGCAGUGGUGAAAUUUAUGGAAUCUAUUAUUUUAAUAAUGGGAUUAGAUUUAAGAGAAGCAUAAAUUGAGCUAGGCCUUUGAUCCUUAGAAUAAGUGAGAGGUCACAAUACAUAUGAGAUGUUUCAAGGACAGUAGUAUUUAUUCUCUCAUAUCUUGAGUCCCAAGUGGGAUAAGCAGUCCAAGACAUGUAUCCUUAUAUGACUCCUAUAGCAUUACUUUACCACUGUGGAGGUAUAUUUAAACUUAUUUUCUGAAACUAAAGCUGUUACUGUCUAGUUUAAUGAUAUUAAAAUGUGACAUCUAUGCCAUAAAUCAGUUAUCAAAACGUUCCUCAUAGGAGUCUAUAUUUAAGAUCAAUGAAAUCUUUUCAAGAAGAACAAGUUCUUGCCUAUGACCCUGCUUAAAAAUCCCUGCCAAAUCUGUCUUUACAAAUUCAUUUAGCCAUGAAGGUACAACCCAGUCUUACUAACAUUUAUGACAUGUCUGCCAUGUGUUUGGUUCCUGAUAUUGAUAUCUGUGUUCUUUCAAGCCAUCCUCCUGAAUUGCCCACACAGCAGCCAGCCUACUUUAGAGAAACCACAGGAAACCAGUCUCUACAUAACACACAGUUAGACAAUUUGCUCUCAGGUUGACAACAGCCCUAACUAUGAUGAUGAUGUUAAUAAUGAAAAAUAAAUGAGUGGAUAAUGAUUAAGAAAAUAAAAAUGCAGAAAUUGACUGAAACUCUGUAUGUGAAUUGAGCUUUAUAACUCUAUAGCCAUCCUGAAAGAUGAUCUUUUUAAAAUCUUAGUUGAGGUAUAAAUGAUGUACAAUAAAAUUUCAGAUGUUUCAAGUGUACAAUUGAUCAGCUUUGACAGUUGAGCACCACUGUGAAACCUCCCCAUUCAGUAUGAUAAACAUGUCCCUCAGCUUCAAGAGUGUCCUUGCACUCUUUGGUUGUCCCUCCUCGUGUCCUAUACCAUCCCUAUCCUGGCCUAAGAAAGCACUCUUCAGUUUUCUGACACAAUAGAUUAGUUGACAAUCUCUUGAAUUUUACAAAAAUUAAAUCUUUGUGUAUAUAUCUGUGUGUGUGUCUAUUUUCUGCCUUCUUUCACUCGACAUAUUUUGAGAUUUAUCUAUAGUAUGACUUGUACAGUACAUUUCCAUUUACCACUAAGUAGCGUCAUAGAGAUAUAUCACGGUUUUGUCCACUUAGAUGUUGGUGGAUGAAUAUCACGGACUUGUCUUUGUAAAUACUCUGCUGUUCUCUUUCUUGGGUAGAUACUUAUGAGUGAAAUUACUGGCUCAUAGUGCCCAUAUGAUUUUCAGUGAAUUGUGGAGGAGAACUUAGUUGCUUUCAAUCUUCCCCAAUACUUCGUGUGGUCAGUCAUUUUUAUUUUAGACAUUGUAAUGAGUAUGUCAUGGUAUCUGGUUGCAGUUUUCAUUUGCACUUCUUAAAGGAAUAAAGAUGUUCCACAUUUUUUUAAGUGCCUAUUUGCCAUGUGUAUAUUUUCUUUGCUCGGUGUCUCUCCAAGUUGUUCAUUCAAUAUUGAUUAGGUUGUUUGUUUUCUUAUUGAGUUUAGAGAUUUCCUUAUAUAUAUUCUGGAUACAAGUCCUAUUUCAAACAGAAGAUUUGCAAAUAUUUUCUCCCAGUGUGUGGUUCGUCUUUCCAUUCCCUUAAUAGUGUCAUUCAAAGGCUAAAAUAUCUUUAUUUUGCUAAAGGUCAUGUUAUUAAUUUAUUGUUUGCAC
ensembl:lncRNA